rnacentral:piRNA from 1 species
ACUGAGCAAAGGACCAAAUGUAG